UACGAAGGGGGCUAGCGUUGCUCGGAUUGACUGGGCGUAAAGGGCGCGUAGGCGGCCUCUUAAGUCGAACGUGAAAUCCCCGGGCUCAACCCGGGAACUGCGUCCGAUACUGGGAGGCUUGAAUCCGGGAGAGGGAUGUGGAAUUCCAGGUGUAGCGGUGAAAUGCGUAGAUAUCUGGAGGAACACCGGUGGCGAAGGCGGCAUCCUGGACCAGUAUUGACGCUGAGGCGCGAAAGCUAGGGGAGCAAACGGG
rnacentral:rRNA from 1 species